ensembl:miRNA microRNA 449a
CAUGUGUGCUGGGAAGGCAGUGUAUUGUUAGCUGGUUGAACAUCUGACACCAGCUAACUUACAGCUGCUAUCUUAUUCCACAUAC